UAGGGAAUCUUCCGCAAUGGGCGAAAGCCUGACGGAGCAACGCCGCGUGAGUGAUGAAGGUCUUCGGAUCGUAAAACUCUGUCAUUAGGGAAGAACAAAUGUGUAAGUAACUAUGCACGUCUUGACGGCACCUAAUCAGAAAGCCACGGCUAACUACGUGCCAGCAGCCGCGGUAAUACGUAGGUGGCAAGCGUUAUCCGGAAUUAUUGGGCGUAAAGCGCGCGUAGGCGGUUUUUUAAGUCUGAUGUGAAAGCCCACGGCUCAACCGUGGAGGGUCAUUGGAAACUGGAAAACUUGAGUGCAGAAGAGGAAAGUGGAAUUCCAUGUGUAGCGGUGAAAUGCGAAGAGAUAUGGAGGAACACCAGUGGCGAAGGCGACUUUCUGGUCUGUAACUGACGCUGAUGUGCGAAAGCGUGGGGAUCAAACAGG
rnacentral:rRNA from 1 species